rnacentral:tRNA from 1 species
UGGGAUAUCGCCAAGCGGUAAGGCAGCGGGUUUUGAUCUCGCCAUUCGUAGGUUCAAAUCCUACUAUCCCAGCCA